GGCUCUGUGGCGCAAUGGAUAGCGCAUUGGACUUCUAGAUGAUUGAAGGUAUUCAAAGGUUGUGGGUUCGAGUCCCACCAGAGUCG
rnacentral:tRNA from 1 species